UGCUAUCAUACUAGUUUCCAUUUAUAGUUUUGACUAUGUCACUCAGACUCACAUGAGAUUGUUGGAUAUAGAUUUUUCUAACACGCGUAUGUUAAUUUUUCUAAAUGUUUUCAUAUAUUUGGAAGGUUCUUGGUCCCUUGGAGGAUCUUAUCUCCAUAUCCCAUGUCAGAUAAUAUCUUCUUGAAUAAAUGAUAAUAUUUUUUACAAGUUUCUUC